AUUGAACGCUGGCGGCAGGCUUAACACAUGCAAGUCGAGCGGGGUGAUGGUGCUUGCACUAUCACUUAGCGGCGGACGGGUGAGUAAUGCUUAGGAAUCUGCCUAUUAGUGGGGGACAACAUCUCGAAAGGGAUGCUAAUACCGCAUACGUCCUACGGGAGAAAGCAGGGGAUCACUUGUGACCUUGCGCUAAUAGAUGAGCCUAAGUCGGAUUAGCUAGUUGGUGGGGUAAUGGCCUACCAAGGCGACGAUCUGUAGCGGGUCUGAGAGGAUGAUCCGCCACACUGGGACUGAGACACGGCCCAGACUCCUACGGGAGGCAGCAGUGGGGAAUAUUGGACAAUGGGGGGAACCCUGAUCCAGCCAUGCCGCGUGUGUGAAGAAGGCCUUAUGGUUGUAGAGCACUUUAAGCGAGGAGGAGGCUCUUUCGGUUAAUACCCAAGAUGAGUGGACGUUACUCGCAGAAUAAGCACCGGCUAACUCUGUGCCAGCCGCCGCCGUAA
rnacentral:rRNA from 1 species